UACAGAGGUCCCGAGCGUUGUUCGGAUUCACUGGGCGUAAAGGGUGCGUAGGUGGCAUGGUAAGUUUGAUGUGAAAACUCAGGGCUUAACCCUGAAAUGGCAUUGAAUACUACUGUGCUGGAGGUUUGGAGGGGGGACUGGAAUUCUUGGUGUAGCAGUGAAAUGCGUAGAUAUCAAGAGGAACACCAGUGGCGAAGGCGAGUCCCUGGACAACACCUGACACUGAGGCACGAAAGCUAGGGGAGCAAACAGG
rnacentral:rRNA from 1 species